CACGUAGGGUGCGAGCGUUGUCCGGAAUUAUUGGGCGUAAAGAGCUCGUAGGCGGUUUGUUGCGUCGGCUGUGAAAUCCCGAGGCUCAACCUCGGGUCUGCAGUCGAUACGAGCAAACUAGAGUGUUGCAGGGGAGACUGGAAUUCCUGGUGUAGCGGUGAAAUGCGCAGAUAUCAGGAGGAACACCGGUGGCGAAGGCGGGUCUCUGGGCCGAUACUGACGCUGAGGCACGAAAGCGUGGGGAGCAAACAGG
rnacentral:rRNA from 1 species